rnacentral:rRNA from 1 species
CAGUCGCCACGGUAAUACGAAGGGGGCUAGCGUUGCUCGGAAUUACUGGGCGUAAAGGGCGCGUAGGCGGAUGUUUAAGUCAGAGGUGAAAGCCCAGGGCUCAACCUUGGAACUGCCUUUGAUACUGGACAUCUUGAGUGUGGGAGAGGUGAGUGGAACUCCGAGUGUAGAGGUGAAAUUCGUAGAUAUUCGGAAGAACGCCAGUGGCGAAGGCGACUCACUGGCCCAUUACUGACGCUGAGGCGCGAGAGCGUGGGGAGCAAACAGGAUUAGAUACCCCCGUAGUCCCUGUCUCUUAUAC